rnacentral:rRNA from 1 species
UGGGGAAUAUUGGGCAAUGGGGGAAACCCUGACUCAGCGACGCCGCGUGAGGGAAGAAGGCCUUAGGGUCGUAAACCUCUGUUGUGUGGAAGAAGAGCGUGACGGUACCACACGAGGAAGUCCCGGCUAACUACGUGCCAGCAGCCGCGGUAAUACGUAGGGGACGAGCGUUGUCCGGAUUUACUGGGCGUAAAGGGCGCGUAGGCGGUCAUUUAAGUCAGCUGUGAAAUGGUUUGGCUUAACCGGAUCAUGCGGUUGAAACUGGAUGACUGGAGUGCUGGAGAGGCAAGUGGAAUUCCCAGUGUAGCGGUGAAAUGCGUAGAUAUUGGGAAGAACACCGGUGGCGAAGGCGACUUGCUGGCCAGCAACUGACGCUGAGGCGCGAAAGCCAGGGGAGCAAACGG